UUGGAGCCCAAAGAACAAGAGAUGUUUCUAGAUAUAGCUUGUUUUUUCCGAGGAGAUGAAAAAAAGAAAGUCAUGCAAAUAUUUGAGAGCUGUGAUUUUGGACCUGAAUAUGGAUUGGAUGUCCUAAUUGAAAAAUCUCUUGUCUUCUUAACUGAAGAUGAUACAAUUCAAAUGCAUGACUUAAUACAAGAUAUGGGUAAAUAUAUAGUGAAAAUUCAAAAGGAUGCAGGCGAAUGUAGCAGAAUAUGGGAGUAUGAAGAUUUUGAAGAACUGAUGGUCAACAAUACAGGGACCAAGGCAAUGGAAG
rnacentral:misc_RNA from 1 species